AGACAGACUCAGACAAAAAAGGAAACACAAUGGGCUUAUCAGCUUCUAAACGAGUCAAAACAACACUCACCAACUCGCCUGAGUUCAACUCUGCCUGUGACUCAGCCUACGCCCACUGUCUCUCUCUAACUCAGAACGCUUUCCAAGGUGUCCUCCCGUAUCAACUCCUCACAGCCUCUGAUCACAUCCAUGCUACCGUCUCCACCACUCACAAACAACCCCUUAUCCUCAAGUGGGUUCCGUCUCCCCCAACUCGGACCCAAAUCGACUCAGCUCUUCGGAUCGUUGCUCGUCAACAGAACAACAAGAGUGAGGAGGAGUUGAUUCUGGGGCCGGCCCAGUUUAAGGAGUGGGCGGUGGUGCUGUACGCGGGGGCCGCCGUGGGAAAUGCCGGCAAGGCGGUUUUAGCCCGAGUUCCAAUCGGAGUGGCCGGGAUUGUUGGGAUCGGAGCCGUAAUGAGGUCCGGGUUCCAUUUGGUCGGUGCGGCGAUCGGCGUUUACGCGCUAGGGUUUGCUACUUCAAUUUACCUUAGCUUGUCUGGUUGAGGUUUGAAUAUUUUGUUUUCUGUCUCUUUCUUUUUUCAAUUUUUUUUAAUUUAAUUGAAUUUAAUGCCGAUCUUUGGUCGUUUAUAUGCAUGCACAUAUUGUUGCUGUAUCUACUGUUCAUAAUACAAGUUAUACAAGUAAUGAUAAGAAGAUAGGUGAAGGUGAAGGUGAAGGUGAAGAUAGCUCUCGCAUGCUUGACGUUGAAGAAACCUAAGGGACAAUUCGGGUUGAUAGGCUUAUGUAUAAUAUGAUGUGGAUUUGAUUUGUUUGAAGCUGAAUUCGAAGAAACAAGAAUGUGGGUUUAUUGGAAAUUUUGUGAUGAGAGAGAAUCCCCCUAGUUUUUGAAACUUUGUAGGACGACAUUUUCCUCGUGUGUAAAGUCACAAUUUGAUGUAUUAUUGAUUUAUUAGGUAUCUAAUCUAUUACCAACUUUGUAAUUUGUGUUUGUGACAUAGUUAAUGUUGUUUCUAUCAUGAAU
rnacentral:misc_RNA from 1 species